GCUAAUAACCCACCACUGAGCUUUUAUACAGUGUGUCUCUGCUGAAAAUACUCCUACCAUCAAGUGGAUUUCUACUGGUUCUUCUGCUUGUUGUGAUGGGAACCUGGAAGCUGUGGCAAAUGCGGAAGAGAAGAACAAUAAAAAGCAACAGAAUGGAUACACACCAUGAUAAUGAAGUUACAUACAGCACUGUUGUCAUCAAGGCAAAUCGCCAAUCAAACACUUCAAAAGAACGGCAGCUUAAUGACUCUGGAGAUGAAGUGACCUACAGCUCUUUAGUGAUCCAAC